UUAUAGCUAAGGAUUUGCAUUCUCAUGAUUGAAUUCUAGUAUAUAGUAACAUUAUAGAAGAAAGUCUAUAAACACUAAACUCAAUCAUGAGAAUGCAAAUCCUUAGCUAUAU